rnacentral:rRNA from 1 species
AGCGAACGCUGGCGGCAGGCUUAACACAUGCAAGUCGAACGGGCACCUUCGGGUGUCAGUGGCAGACGGGUGAGUAACACGUGGGAACGUACCCUUCGGUUCGGAAUAACUCAGGGAAACUUGAGCUAAUACCGGAUACGCCCUUUUGGGGAAAGGUUUACUGCCGAAGGAUCGGCCCGCGUCUGAUUAGCUUGUUGGUGGGGUAACGGCCUACCAAGGCGACGAUCAGUAGCUGGUCUGAGAGGAUGAUCAGCCACACUGGGACUGAGACACGGCCCAG